rnacentral:rRNA from 1 species
AGCGAACGCUGGCGGCAGGCCUAACACAUGCAAGUCGAACGGACCCUUCGGGGUUAGUGGCGGACGGGUGAGUAACACGUGGGAACGUGCCUUUAGGUCCGGAAUAGCUCCUGGAAACGGGUGGUAAUGCCGAAUGUGCCCUUCGGGGGAAAGAUUUAUCGCCUUUAGAGCGGCCCGCGUCUGAUUAGCUAGUUGGUGAGGUAAUGGCUCACCAAGGCGACGAUCAGUAGCUGGUCUGAGAGGAUGACCAGCCACAUUGGGACUGAGACACGGCCCAUACUCCUACGGGAGGCAGCAGUGAGGAAUCUUCCGCAAUGGGCGAAAGCCUGACGGAGCGACACCGCGUGGAGGAUGAAGCCCUUUCCGGGCGUAAACUCCUGUUCUGAGGGACGAAAUUUUUGACGGUACCUCAGGAGAAAGCAUCGGCUAACCCUGUGCCAGCCGCCGCAGUAACAC